rnacentral:rRNA from 2 species
AACGCUGGCGGCGUGCUUAACACAUGCAAGUCGAACGAUGAAAGAGAAUCCGAUCUCUUCGGAGUGAAGAAUCUCUGGAUUAGUGGCGGACGGGUGAGUAACGCGUGAGCAAUCUGCCUUACACAAAGGGAUAGCCUCGGGAAACCGGGAUUAAUACCAUAUGAUAUCUAUUCACCGCAUGGUUUAUAGAUUAAAGAAUUUCGGUGUAAGAUGAGCUCGCGUCCCAUUAAUUAGUUGGUGAGGGUAACGGCCCACCAAGAUAGCGAUGGGUAGCCGAUCUAAGAGGAUGACCGGCCACAUUGGAACUGAGAAACGGUCCAAACUCCUACGGGAGGCAGCAGUGGGGAAUAUUGCACAAUGGGGGAAACCCUGAUGCAGCGACGCCGCGUGAGCGAUGAAGGCUUUCGAGUCGUAAAGCUCUGUCCUAUGGGAAGAUAAUGACGGUACCAUAGAAGAAAGCCCCGGCUAAUUACGUGCCAGCCGCCGCGGUAA